rnacentral:lncRNA from 1 species
GAGCAAUGGAAAAGGGCUAUGCAGGCCCAGACUGGAGCGUCUAAUGGACUUUGGGAACUACAACCACUCCUCUCUGCGGAGGGAACCUGCUUUCUCCUCAUGGAUACGAGAGCUGUUCUGCGGAAUUCUGGUCCCCCCAAGAAACAGAAGUCCAUUAGGGAUGCCAGUGCUUACGUCAUCUAACCAAUGAAACGUCUCUCCCUGUAAGCACGAUGGUAAAGGAGCACGUGGAAAGGACAAGCGCUCUUGGUCCAGCUGGCUGCUCUGAACCUUCUGGUGAGCACUGUGGUAAAGCUAAGUGAGUGUCUGACGUGUCACUUGUACAGCCUGUCACAACGAAACCCCAGAAAGGAAACUGGCAGAAUGUUGGCUUAAAUAACCUGCUUACACGUACACAGCCGGGAACUGACAAAGCUUGAAUUUCAAUUGCAACAAUCUAAACCAUCAUUUAAAAUUGGAAUCUAGCAAAGUCACAGAGCAUGAGUGAUGGCUGUUCCUGGUUGUCGACUACAUCUGGAAUGAACUACAAUCCGGAAAUGGAGGGCAUACCUGUGAUCCAGAUCUUGAGAGUGGAUGGCACAAGCUCUGACAGGAGAUGACACACACUUUUGAUUCAGAUCUUGAGGCACAGUGACCAUGCAAAGCUUAGGCCCAGACAGGAGUUGCUUUAAUCCCAGGAGACUGAGGCAAGGAGAUCUGAUUUCAAGGCCAGCUUGGGACUGUGAGCUCCAAAUCCAGGCAUGGUGGUACACACAUCUGGGCCAUACCUUCUGCUGAAGCCUAUAUAAGGACAUUAGAAGAAAGAAGACUCACUCUUCUUCGCAUGCUUGCACUUACUGGCCAGCAUAUCCAUUGGAACCUACUUCUUCGGGGGAGUCCAGUGUAAACAGAAGACCAGCUAAAACAGCUAACCUUGUGGGACUGAGCAACUACUAGACGCUUGGACUUCCCAUUCACAGCUGCCCAUUGUUGGGUUAGUUGGACUACAGACUGUAAG